AUGAACGCUAGCUACAGGCUUAACACAUGCAAGUCGUACGAGACGAUUGAAAGCUUGCUUUUGAAAGUCGAGUGGCAAACGGGUGAGUAACGCGUAGACAACCUGCCGUAAAGAUGGGGACAACAGUCCGAAAGGACUGCUAAUACCGAAUGUUGUCGAACUUCCGCAUGGAAGUUCGACUAAAGAUGGCCUCUACUUGUAAGCUAUCGCUUUACGAUGGGUCUGCGUCUGAUUAGAUAGUUGGUGGGGUAACGGCCUACCAAGUCGACGAUCAGUAGCCGGUCUGAGAGGAUGAACGGCCACAUUGGAACUGAGACACGGUCCAGACUCCUACGGGAGGCAGCAGUGGGGAAUCUUCCGCAAUGGGCGAAAGCCUGACGGAGCAACGCCGCGUGAGUGAAGAAGGUCUUCGGAUCGUAAAGCUUUGUUGUCGGGGACGAAUGUUGAGGCCUAGAACAUAGGUUUCAAAUGACGGUACCUGACGAGGAAGCCACGGCUAACUACGUG
rnacentral:rRNA from 1 species